rnacentral:rRNA from 1 species
GGGGUUUAAUUUUGGGUUUUCCCGGGGGUACGGGCCGGCUUAGAGGGGGGUGGGGGGUAAAUGGAAUUUCCUGGGGGGGGGGGGGGAAGGGCCCGGUUUCCGGGGGGAACCCCGAUGGGGAAGGCCGGGUUCUUGGGCCCCCCCUGCCGCGGAGGAGCGAAAGGGGGGGGUGGGGACCAGGAUUAGAUUCCCCGGGUAGUCCACCCCGUAAACGUGGGGCACUAGGUGUGGGGCCUUUCCAUGGGUUCUGCGCCGGUAGCUAACGCAUUAAGUGCCCCGCCGGGGGAGUACGGCCGCAAGGCUAAAACUCAAAGGAAUUGACGGGGGCCCGCACAAGCGGCGGAGCAUGCGGAUUAAUUCGAUGCAACGCGAAGAACCUUACCAAGGCUUGACAUACACCGGAAUCAUGCAGAGAUGUGUGAGUCUUCGGACUGGUGUACAGGUGGUGCAUGGUUGUCGUCAGCUCGUGUCGUGAGAUGUUGGGUUAAGUCCCGCAACGAGCGCAACCCUUGUCUCGUGUUGCCAGCAUUUAGUUGGGGACUCACGAGAGACUGCCGGGGUUAACUCGGAGGAAGGUGGGGAUGACGUCAAAUCAUCAUGCCCCUUAUGUCUUGGGCUUCACGCAUGCUACAAUGGCAAGUACAGAGUGUUGCGAGCCUGUGAGGGUGAGCGAAUCACUUAAAGCUUGUCUCAGUUCGGAUUGGGGUCUGCAACUCGACCCCAUGAAGUCGGAGUCGCUAGUAAUCGCAGAACAGCAACGCUGCGGUGAAUACGUUCUCGGGCCUUGUACUCACCGCCCGUCAAG